AAACACGAGCACCAGACCUGACUGGGUGGUUGAGGGAGCUCCUGGUGAAAUGUGCUGAGGCUUCUGCUGAGGUUUCUACCUCAGCUCCACGGCCUGGCCAGGUAGGAAUGCAAUUCACCUUCCUGUCAUGUUUCUGUCCUGGCACUCCAGACAUUCGGGUCAGACAGACCUCACUAUCUCCAAGCUGCAGUGAAUCUGAGAGCCAUGAAAGUUCAAUGGAUUGAAGAAAAUGUUCACGGAAGGAAGAUGAUUAAUUGAUCCAGAGGGCCUGUAGCAACUCUGUUUAACAUGCUAGAUGAGCCAGUCUUAUUCAGUGAUGACUAAGGAUCUAGAGAAAACUGGUGUCAGGUUGGUCUUCUUCUUCCCACCUAUUUUCAGUUGGCCUGCAGUUCCUAGGAUGUGUAUCCUGUAUGCUGGUCACCGGAAGAUAGGCAAAUUUUUGCUUUGUUGCUGGUUCUGGGACAACAGCCAUGAUGACUUCUUGGCAGUCAUUUGCAGACUAAGGUAGCUUUGAAGGUGAAGAUUCUUUGUGUUCAUUCUCAUCCUGAUGUAAAAAUACUACCUGAGACUGGAUAAUUUAUAAACAAAAGAGGUUUAAUUGAUUCACAGUUCCUCAUGCCUGGGGAGGCCUCAGGAAACUUACAAUCACAGCGGAAGGCAAAAGGGAAGAAGGCACCUUCUUCACAAGGUGGCAGGAGAGACAGUGAGGAAGUGCCAUACUUUAAAACCAUCAGCUCUCAUGAGACUUCACUCAUGAUCACGAGAACAGCAUGGGGAACCUUCUCCCAUGAUUCAAUCACCUCCCACCAGCUCCCUCCUCGACAUGUGGGGAUUACAAUUUGAGAUGAGAUUUGGGUGGGUACACAGAGACAAACCAUAUCUAUCAAUUCUGAAUGUUUAAUACCAGUAUUAUUAGAGGAGGAUCUAGUCCCCUUCAGGACAUAAGGAUCUAUGAUCCUCUGUCAGAACAUAUUAGACCCUUUCCUUUGGCUAUAACCAAAAGAUUAUAAACAUACAUCCAGGAAUAAAAAUAGUAUAUUAAAAUUGUGUGUGUGUGUGUGUGUACGAAUGUAAAUUUUUUGUGCCAAAUCUAAAGACUCUUUACCUAGUCCUAAUGUGUCUUGAAGAUCUUCUGCAGUUUUUUUUCUAGAAAUUUUAUAGUUUUAUGUUUUACAUUUAAGUCUGUGAUUCAUUUUUAGUUAAUUUUUUUUGUAUAAGAUGUGAAGCUUAGGUUAAGGUUCAUGUUUUUGCCUAUGGUUGUUCAAUUGCUCUAAUAGCAUUUAUUGAAAAGGUUAAUGAUUUAUUUGUACUUCUGCCAAAAUUAAUUGAUCAUACUCAUGUGGUCAUACUUCCGCUUUCUCUGUUUUAUACCACUUAGCUUUGUCUAUCUUGCUAUCAAUACCACACUGUCUUGAUUACUGUAGCUAUAUAUUACUGUAGCUAUAUAGUAAACUUUAAUAAAAGGAAGAUGAACUUUCUUCUUCUUUUUUCAAAAUCGUUUUGGCUGUUUAAGGUCUUUUUCUUUUGGUAUACAUUUUAGAGUAAAAGUACAUACUUCUGUGAAAUACCUUACUAAGCUUCUGAUAGGAAAUACGAUAACACUGUAGAACAGUUUAGGGAGGACUGGUAUCUUUACUAAAUCUUCUAACCCAUAAACAUGAUAUUUAGGUCUUCUUGUCUUUCACCAACAUUUUGUAAUUUUCAACAUGUAGAUUCUAUACAAUUUUGUUGAGAUUAUGUCAUCUGUGAAUAAAGACUGUUUUAUUUCUUUUCCAAUUUGUAUGCCUUUUAUUUUUUUGUGUGCUUGUUAUAAUGACUAGAACUUCCAGUAAUACGUUGAAUAAUAGUGCUGAAAACAGAUUUCCUUGCCUUGUUCCUGAUCUUAGAGUGAAAGCAUUUAGCCUUUCACCAUUAUGUAUUACAUAGAUAUUGUUUCUUUUUUUUGUGUAUGUAAUUUCUUAUUAUGAGAUUAAGGAAGUUCCCUUCUAUUCCUAGUGUAUUGAAAGUUUUUAUAAUGAAUGGGUGUUGAAUUUUGUCAAAUGCUUUUUCUGUCAAUUGGUAUAAUCAUAUGACUUUUUUGUUUAGUUUGUUAAUAUUAUGGAUGAUAAUGAUAGAUUUUUGAAUAUCAAACUGUCCUUAUAUACCUAGAAUAAAUUCCACUUGGUCAUGGUAUACUAAUAUUUUUAUACACUGAUGGAUUCAAUUUGCUAACAUUUUAUUGAGGAUUUCUGCCCUGCUUUUAAGUCACUUUUGUUUACCUCUUU
rnacentral:lncRNA from 1 species